AAAGAGCAUCUACAGUAUCAGGAUACAAUUUAAAGACUAUGGACAGCAAUUCCAUAAUCGUCAAAGAGGAAGAUUGGCGGGUUUUUCUCUAUAUGUUUCGAACACAUCAGAAAUCAAUAACAGUUAUUUGUGUUACCACAACGGACCAGAAUUACCUCCUCUAGAUAAUAUCAAUAUCUGCACCAUGCAUGGACGUUAUGUCACAUUUUACAAUGAAAGAAAUGAGACAUCAUAUCCUGUCGGUUUACGAGAAUACCAUCAUAACAGAGUUAUGUGAAGUUAAUGUGAUGGGCUGUGAAAAGGAUGGAUUUUAUGGUCAAAACUGUGAUCUUGCAUGCCCUCUUCACUGCCAGGAAGGAAGAUGUCAUAUAACAAAUGGAACCUGUCUUGGUUGUACAGCUGGCUGGAUUGGAGAUUUCUGU